UACAGAGGGUGCGAGCGUUAAUCGGAAUUACUGGGCGUAAAGCGUGCGUAGACGGUUAUUUAAGUCGGGUGUGAAAGCCCCGGGCUCAACCUGGGAAUUGCAUUCGAGACUGAAUAGCUAGAGUGUGGUAGGGGAGAUCGGAAUUCCUGGUGUAGAGGUGAAAUUCGUAGAUAUCAGGAGGAACACCGGUGGCGAAGGCGGCCAUCUGGACGACAACUGACGCUGAGAUGCGAAAGCGUGGGGAGCAAACAGG
rnacentral:rRNA from 1 species